ensembl:rRNA 5S_rRNA 5S ribosomal RNA
GUCUAUGGUCAUACCAACCUAGGUGACCUGAUCUCAUCUGACCGCAGAAGCUAAGCAGGGUCAGGCCUGGUUAGUACUUGAAUGGGAGAAGAGUGGUUUAAAUGAGAUAGAAAAAUAUGAAGUGAUAGUGG